rnacentral:rRNA from 1 species
UACGUAGGGACCGAGCGUUGUCCGGAUUCAUUGGGCGGAAAGAGCUCGUAGGCGGCCACUCAAGUCGAAUGUGAAACCUCGAGGCUUAACCUCGAGCCUGCAUUCGAUACUGGGCGGCUAGAGUCUGGUAGGGGGAUCUGGAAUUCCUGGUGUAGCGGUGGAAUGCGCAGAUAUCAGGAGGAACACCGGUGGCGAAGGCGGGAUCCUGGGCCAGUACUGACGCUGAGGAGCGAAAGCGUGGGGAGCAAACAGG